UACGUAGGUGGCAAGCGUUGUCCGGAUUUACUGGGCGUAAAGAGCGCGCAGGCGGUCGUUCAAGUCGCGUGUGAAAGCCCCCAGCUCAACUGGGGAGGGUCACGCGAUACUGAUCGACUCGAAGGCAGGAGAGGGUAGUGGAAUUCCCGGUGUAGUGGUGAAAUGCGUAGAUAUCGGGAGGAACACCAGUGGCGAAGGCGACUACCUGGCCUGUUCUUGACGCUGAGGCGCGAAAGCUAGGGGAGCAAACGGG
rnacentral:rRNA from 1 species